UCUUUAUACAACCAGACGCAGCUGAACAGGAUGGAGAAGAAGACGAAGGAUCACAUUAUAGAUACCCUAGACGACCUGGAUGACAAUGGACUAAAUCGGUUCAAGGACAAGCUGGGCGACACGUCGUUCCAGGGGCGCAGAAUCGCCAAGGGGAAGCUUGAGCAUGCGAAGAGCGUGGAGGUAGCUUGUUUGAUAAUGAGCACCUUCACCGAAACGCACGCCGCUGCGAACACGAUCGCCGUUUUAAAUGCCAUUAACCAGGCACAACUGGCUGAACAGUUGAAAGAAAAGGUUAAAGCCGCGCCACCACCCAAAAAAAGGACAAAAUCGCCGUGUGCGGACAACAUCGGUACAGUAAAGCUACCUAUCGAUGCGUCCGGCUGACAGUCCAGACAAACCCCUUUUCUUCACCCCAGAAGGAACAAUCGUCUCCAGGACUUCAUUAACUAUCUUCACCUGAAUCUUCUCUGUGCUGGAUUUCCUUCCAGCAACUACUCUGGACAUUCUUCAAGAAACAUUCCUCCACAUUUAAUCAAGGCAACGGGGAGAUGGACCUCAGGAGCUUACAAACUGUGUAUCUGAAAAUGACAAUGACACAUUAACUGCGCAAAAACUAUUAGUUGUUCAUUUAAAGGUCAUUAAGAGGGUUUUAAUUUAGGCCUGGAGGAAGGCCUACCCUUGGCCAUGGAUUCCCUAAGGUUUCCUCCUAUCACCCUGUGGGUGAGCAGGGUUUUUUUCCUUACAUGAGUGCUGGGCGGUCUAAUUCUCCAAGGUCGUGUGGGCUUAGGUGGUCUUGUUCCUUUUUUGGGGGAAGGUGCCUCUUUUCCUGCAAGCUGGCUUUAGUUAUUCAUUUAAUUAAUAUACUUUACUCAUCAUAGUUUGCCAGCAUAGUCGGCGGCUAACGAGCUCCAAUGGACAAGUCCAUGGGCCAAAUUCAUUUGAAGUGUUUAAAGUUAAAUUCCAGUUUUCAUUUGGUUUUGUUCAGCUACAAAAUACACAAGUAAACCUAAUGGUAUUACUUUAUGAAAACAAAUCUAUGGCCACAGUUUACUGUGAAGAAACGGCAAUGGCAAGGAAUUAAACAAACAAACAAACAAAUAAAUAAAUAAAUAAAUAAAUAAAUAAAAUGCAUCAGAUGUCACACCAGCCUUUAAAAAUGUGCAUUUGUAAAAAAAAAAAAAGUCUCAAAAUAUGCGUUUUCAACCAUAAUAUCUGCAUUUUUACAUCAACAUAGUUAUGUUAUUGUCCAGAGUAACUAUUUCAGAUUAACAAAGUUAACAUGCAAAACGGUACACAGUAUAAAUAAUGGCAGUAGAAAUAGACAUAAAGACAAGCUUACCGUGAAACGUUUUCUUUUGAAAAUCCCCCGUUCACGAUGUAAAAAUCAGUGUUGUAGAACAUGUACCAAUGUCUCUGCAGGUAGCUGUCAACAUCAGAGCCAUUUACAGUUUUGCUGUUUAAAAGUUUUGACUCAUGCUAUUUCCAAAUCAAAGUCUUGAUAAUUCUCAGGCGCUUCCACUGAAAUUGUUAUGUUCAAUCAUGCUUUCCCCUCACUGCAGCAAUUCCCCACACAGCUCAGGAGAACUAAAGUUUCAGUAGGUGGCCUCCAAUCCCACGACUGAGCCAGCUUACUCUUUUACACCCAGAAACUCAAGGGCGGAUGUCAGUGAGCUACUGGCCUCUGGAGGACAAAGGCCAGCCCUGCAGGUGUCUGCUUUUGAGCUCACUGGGCUCCUGGCCAGCAGAGUCCUCUGCAGCGCAGUGAGGAGAAAGCCCCUGCCAGUUUUGCCUACCUAACGCGCGGGAGUGCCAGAGCCAAUGCGAUGCUCCCUUCGGAGUCCCUAGCAAAGACCGGAGACUUCGCACAGCCAGGACACGGACCUAUGCUGUAUGACCCACCCUGCACACCAUGCGGCUGUGCUUUUACCAGGUGAGAAGUUGUUGAGAAACUUAAGAAGGCACAAAAAUUUGCUCUUCAGCUUGACGAAUCAACGGAUACUGGAGGAGAUGCUCAGCUAAGUGCUUAUGUUCGAUACCCUGAAUCUGAUGACAUCAACAAGCACACAAUGUUAUACAAACAUAUAUGGGCUAACUCGACUGGAGAGGAACAUUUCAAGCUGAUUGACAAUUUCUUUUGUGAUCAUGAACUGAGCUGGAAGUUUUGCAAAUGUGUCUGCAGUGAUGGGGCAGCUGCAAUGACAGAGACAGUGAAUGGCCUUGUUGCAAGGAUCAGGAAAGACAGUCUUUCAGUGCAAUGGGUGCACUACAACAUUCACAGAGAGGUGUUUGCUUCUGCAUUCUUUGUGAGGAGCUGGGGGCUGAACAUCAGCAACUAUUGCUUCAUACAGAGGUCAAGAGGAAAAGUACUUCAAAGACUGGUCGAACUACACACAAUUCAUAUGUUUCAGGGUACCAGAGUGGCUCACCGGAGUCACCUACAGUCAUACUGUAGGAUGAGUCAUACAGCGCAGGUUCACGUCCUGGCGGUUCGAAGUGGCCAAUCUUCACUGGGGAGUCCAAAGGAAGCAUCACAUUGGCUCUGGCGUGUCUGUGUGUUCGGGAGGCAAAACUGGCAGGGACUGUUUCUUCUCAUCGCAGUACAGUGAACCCUGCUGGCCAGGUGCCCAGUGAUCUCAAAAGAGGACACCUGCGGGGCUGGCCUUUGUCCUCCAGAGGCCGUUAGCUCACUGACAUCUACUCUCAAGGUCCUGGGUGUAAAGGAGGAAGCUGGCUUGGUUGUGGGAUCUAAGGACACCUACUGAACCUUCAGAUCUCCUGAGCUGUGUGGGGAAAAAAUUAUUGGACAUUGGAGGAAAAGUAAUUGGGCACACUAAAUAAAAAAAAUGUAAUAAAAAAAUUUCACAUGUUUCUUGUUGAUCGUUCGUCCACUCUUAACCUCUGUGUUUGAGAAUACCAUAUGGUUAGCUCAACUUGCCUAUCUUGCAUUCUGAAUCUGUAUGACAAAGUUAAUGCUUUAAUAAAAAACAAAUUAUUCUGGAAGUCCAAAUGUGGUCCAUAUGCAUAAAACUUACCAUCUCCUUUAUCAUGCCAGUAAUAGUGUUUAACAUGACAGUAUUUCAUCUGGUGAUUUUAUAAAAGCCAUUUACUGUCAAAAAACAUCACUCAUUACAAUGUUAGAAUAAUGUGCUCUUGGAGACUAAUUUUCUCAUUAACAUAUUGUGACAAAGUUGGUCCUUCUUUGCGUACUUUGUUCACAAGUAUGAACGGCGACAACACAAUAGACACAACGAGUGUAAGUUUAUUUUAAACGGGAUGUUACCUGCAUGUUUAUUUUCAAGGGAAGUCCAAUAAUCAGAGUUGUAAUGUUAAUCCAGAGUGUGCCAACAAUCAGGUAGUCAUCCAAAAUAGGGUUAAAACAGCCAACAGGGUUAUCCAAACAGUCCAGGGUCAUACACAAUAAUGCAAUCCAUAAAUCAAUAGAACACACCAAAACUCUCUCAAACACAGCACCAAACUCCUUCUACUCCCCUCUCUCUGUGGUGCUGUCAGUUUACUCCUUUGCUCAUUUCCCCUUGAUCACCUGCAGGUGUGCUGACAUACCUUAAUUACCUGGUAAGGAUCCUGGGUAGUGUAGUUUGUGGUGGGCGACCAUUUUGUGAACUGUAGUCCUAUUGGGACCUCCAUUUUGUGAAAGGACAAAGUCCUAACAAAAUCUCUUCCCUCACAUAUCUCCCAUUCAGGACCAUGCCCUGAGGUUUAUCACAAUAUUAUUAGUCUGAUUCAUAGAGCUGUAUGGUGCUGUUAAUUGACCCUUACCGGCAUCAUAAUGACCACCUGCCUCAGACCAAGCAGAGAAUAAGAUGUGUUUUAUUGGUCUAAUUUCCGAGCAUAAUUUGUGUGUUUAUCAAUAUCUAAAACCAUUACAGGCCAUUAAAAUAACCAGGCCCUAGUUUUAUAAAUCGUGUGCCAAAUACUGCCCAGUAAUUUUUUUUUUUGGAUGGAAAUUACCACCAUCUUUUAUGCAUAUGGGCCACAGAUUUGACCUGUUUUCCACACCUGACACGUUUCUCGCUGAAGUUAUCCAGGGAAAACUGAGUAGAAUAAAAUUAACACAAUAAUAGCAGACCAUAUGGCCCACCCAUCGUAACUGCUGCUGGAGUAUUGAGUCAUCGAUGGUCUAAAAAGAAUAGUAGUAAUUUAAUUGUGAUAAUCUACCUACCCUGGCAAUAAUUAACAAAUGCAGAUGUUUAUUUAUUUCAAACUAAUUAUGUUAUUUGCCCAUUUUCUCCAUUAUACCAUGUCACUUGCAUAAAUACUAAACUGUGGCUACAGCUUUGUAUAAUGAGGUAGCUUUCUCAGUGCCUACCAGGUGUGCUGUUUUCAGUAGAAUAUUUUUUUUUCCUAGACCACUUUAGAGUUCAACUGAGUGAGUUGAGAAGUUUCUAUCAACUCUAAGCCUCUUUCACACUGGCAUGCUGUACCUGGGUCGGAACCCAGGUCAGGACCCGGUAUCAUGCGGGUCGGCUACGUGAUUUCACACGCUUCCAUCCAAGAUUCUCGAGAUUGAUCUGUCAGACCAAAUGUUGAUUAGAGCAAAUGUUUCUUCAUCCCUAUUGCAAUCCGGUGUGUCUCAAGCAACAAAAACAUGGCUAAACAGAAUAAACAGAAACAUUCCUUGCGGAAAUAAAACCUUUGUGCAUUUAGUCUCGCUCAACCCGGGUCAAAGCGUGUCGACCCACAUCCUGAGGUGGGUCACUGCAACCUGGGUCAACCCGGGUACGACCCAGGUACGUGGUUUCACACUGUGGGAUUGUGACCCGGGUAGGCAUAACCUGGGUCAAGACCCGGGUAGUAGUGCCAGUGUGAAAGGGCUCAUUUGUCUUGCUCUCUGUUCUACUGGGACUGGCUUCAAACCCUUCAUUAUACUUCUACAUACUGUAUGUGAACACUUACUAUUUUUCUGCUCACUAUUUUUCUGCUCUUUCCAGCUACCUAUCGAUGCGUCCGGCUGACAGUCCAGACAAACCCCUUUUCUUCACCCCAGAGGGAACAAUCGUCUCCAGGACUUCAUUAACUAUCUUCACCUGAGUCUUCUCCCUGCUGGAUUUCCUUCCAGCAACUACUCUGGACAUUCUUCAAGAAACAUUCCUCCACAUUUAAUCAAGGCAACGGGGAGAUGGACCUCAGGAGCUUACAAACUAUCUGAAAAUGACAAUGACACAUUAACUGCGCAAAAACUAUUAGUUGUUCAUUUAAAGGUCAUUAAGAGGGUUUUAAUUUAGGCCUGGAGGAAGGCCUACCCUUGGCCAUGGAUUCCCUAAGGUUUCCUCCUAUCACCCUGUGGGUGAGCAGGGUUUUUUUCCUUACAUGAGUGAUGGGCGGUCUAAUUCUCCAAGGUCGUGUGGGCUUAGGUGGUCUUGUUCCUUUUUUGGGGGAAGGUGCCACUUGUCCUGCAAGCUGGCUUUAGUUAUUCAUCUAAUUAAUAUACUUUACUCAUCAUAGUUUGCCAGCAUAGUCGGCGGCUAACGAGCUCCAAUGGACAAGUCCAUGGGCCAAAUUCAAAUAACAAUGUAACCAUUUACCGUUACAUGGAUUGGUUUCACAAGCAUCUGUCUGGGCUACCCUAAUGUACAAAAUCAAAAAGAAAAAGGUAAUGUAGGUACACAAAAAUGGGAAUAAUUGAUAAAAAGAAUCAGACGGUUUCAGACUACAAGUACUUCAACUGGGUGGAAAAAGCAGUGAUGUAAAGAAGCUGUUAUAAACAAGUUGUCUUUCAAAAGAAAAGGCUCCAGAGGAUGAUCAAAUGACUUCAGAAUAGGAUGUUCAUUUCAAGAGGUUCCAAAGUCCCUCAUUUGAAAAUAAAUAUAUAGUCUAUGUUACCAUGGCAACAUACCUCUAAACUGGAAAAAAUAAAUCCUGGUGUUAUUUCAUUUCCUAUGUCAGAACGUGACUACAUUUUUUUAAUCUGUUUAGAUUGGCCUCUAAUGUAAGAGAUUUUCCAAAGCAUCAAAUAGUUUUUAUCUUAAACCAUUCGAAUGUAUGCAUGAGUACUUUAGACAUCAUUAACAUAACCAAGCGUGUAGUCUGUUGCUACUUGGUAUAGAUGUUCUAAAUUCUAUAAAAGAAUAAUGGCGAAUAAGAAUAAUUUAGCAUUACCUUUUCCAAAACAGCCUGUGAAUUUUGGUUUCCUCAUUUUUUUAUGUAUUUAUUUAUUGUUUUGGUGUACACUGCUGUAGAGUCUGUACUCUAGACUAGCACAACUUUAAGGUCGGUUAAAACUCCAUCGCGCAACUGUCGUUAAAGAGCAAUGCGACCAGAGAUCAUCGCUGUUGCGUCGCCGUGCAGUUUACGGUGUCGUCCGACAAUCGCCCUGCUCCAAAACGACAGUCGCUGGCAGCAUCGCUGAGAGUUCAUAAGAACAUAAGAAAGUUUACAAACGAGAGGAGGCCAUUCGGCCCAUCCUCCUCGUUUGGUUGUUAGUAGCUUAUUGAUCCCAGAAUCUCAUCAAGCAGCUUCUUGAAGGAUCCCAGGGUGUCAGCUUCAACAACAUUACUGGGGAGUUUGUUCCAGACCCUCACAAAUCUCUGUGUAAAAAAAGUGCCUCCUAUUUUCUGUUCUGAAUGCCCCUUUAUCUAAUUUGUGACCCCUGGUCCUUGUUUCUUUUUUCCGGUUGAAAAAGUCCCCUGGGUCGACACUGUCAAUACCUUUUAGUUCAAAUCAACUGAACUUUAACCUCAUCGCUGACCUUGUUGCUAGGUGAUACAAUGCAAAGAAUGUAAACUCUGUAUAAUUACUGUCUAUCUCUGCCUGUAUGCAGUAGGUAGAGCAGAUUUUAAAGAUCAGCAGAAAAAAGAGAAUGUUUGGGAAUCCAUUGCUGAAUAAAUGCAAUCAAGAUUGUCUCUCUUGACAUAGUUAUAUCCCAAUAGAUAAUAUUAAGCAACCACAGUGCAGGACUUUAGGACUGGGGCAGCAGUGUGGAGUAGUGGCUAGGGCUCUGGACUCUUGACCAGAGGGUCGUGGGUUCAAUCCCAAGUGGGAGACACUGCUGCUGUACCCUUGAGCAAGGUACUUUACCUAGAUUGCUCCAGUAAAAAACCCAACUGCAUAAAUGGGUAAAUUGUAUGUAAAAAAUAAUAUGAUCUCUUGUAACAAUUGUAAGUUGCUCUGGAUAAGGGAGUCUGCUAUGAAAUAAAUAAUAAAUAACAUUUAAUUAUAAAUGGAAUAUAACAUCUGCUUUAUGACAUAUGUUGGUGCAAGGCAUACACAGACCUCAGACCAAAAAAAAAAAUACUAGAUUGGUUGUUAUGAAACAUCAAUAGACAAUAGACCUUGCAGUCUAUGACAGCAGUGUUUUUUUCCUAGAAUGCGGUCAAGAAAUUGCCAGUGCAUUGUAAUAGUGUGGAGUAGUGUGGAGUAGUGGUUAGGGCUCUGGACUCUUGACCGGAGGGUCGUGGGUUCAAUCCCCAGUGGGGACACUGCUGCUGUACCCUUGAGCAAGGUACUUUACCUAGAUUGCUCCAGUAAAAAAAAAACAACUGUAUAAAUGGGUAAUUGUAUGUAAAAAAAAAAAUAAUGUGAUAUCUUGUAACAAUUGUAAGUCGCCCUGGAUAAGGGCGUCUGCUAAGAAAUAAAUAAUAAUAAUAAUAAUACAGCCGAAAGCAAUAUAAUCAAAAUAUGUUCAUUAAUACAUGGAACAGCAGAGCUCAAAAAAUAACAACCCCAGUAAGUCUUUUUUGUAAUCUGUCUGGAAGGAACACCACUUUUUAUUUUUUUACCCCUCUGUUACAGUGUUUAUAAUUAUUUCAACAUUUUAUAAUACCAGAUGACAGAAUAAAUCUGCAUAUAGCACAGGGAUGGGAAUAAGACGCUCAUUGCAUAGCAGUUUGAGCCAUUUCAGGUUUUACGAGCUGCAGGCUCUUGUACAAAUUGUACUGAUGAAGCAGAAAAGAGAAGACAACAUUGUAAACAUGCUUAUAUGUGAAAUAAGCAUGUUUACGAUGUUGGUUUUUUUCCUUAAAAGUAAAGCAGAAGUCAAAAUUAAUAACUGAAGAAUCAAAGCUUCACCUUCCAUUUUUGCUCAAAUACUUCUCAGGUCACGUGGAAAUACAGCAUCUGUGUGUGGACAAUGACAGUGUGUUGAUCGGGUGAUAAUCGAGUGACAGUCUGCUGUCGGUACUUUGAACCCCCUCCUCUAAUGUUCUCCAAUGCCCCCUUCGAUCAGUGAGCCAUGGGGAAAUCCCCUCUGCCUCCCCGCCCUCUCGGUGGGCCUGUGUAUUGAUAAUGUUUGUUAAUAUACUUUAAUAGGGAGCUCAAAUUUGGCUGGGGAGAUCGAGAAAAGCUAUGUGGAGUAGUAGUUAGGGCUCUGGACUCCUGAACGGAGGGGCAUGGGUUCAAUCCCAGGUCGGGGACAGUGCUGCUGUACCCUUGAGCAAGGUACUUUACCUAGAUUGCUCCAGUAAAAACCCAACUGUAUAAAUGGGUAAUUGUAUGUAAAAAUAAUGUGAAAAAAAUAAUGCAAUUGUAUGUAAAAAUAAUGUGAUAUCUUGUAACAAUUGUAAGUCGCCAUGGAUAAGGGCCUCUGCUAAGAAAUAAAUAAUAAUAAUAAUAAUAUGUGCUUAUUACAUUUUUUAAAUAUAAAUCUACUUUUUGCUAUGCGUGUGUAACUGAGUCAGACGAUUCAAAGAAAAUGUGAAGAGUGAAACACUGCCGCUUCUUUUCCAGGGCUUGGUGAGAAGUUUCUCUGUAUAAUCAUCUAUUGCCUAAUAAAAAUGUCAACUGUGUGAUAGAUCUAUGUUGUGUGUUUCCUGGAGUCCCUCCCACAUCUACACAUUGUAUUGUUUAUAAUAACUGCAAGGCAUGAAUUAAGUGGGUAACACUUGUAAUGUCAUUUCACGAUAUUUAUAAGUUUACUGUGAAUAAAAUUCUGUUCCU